ensembl:lncRNA
GAACUUGUUGCUGAAUGAACCUGAAACUGCCUCACUCGGUUUGCAGCAGCUACUCAGUAAAUGCAACUUAACACUCCAAGAGUAUGAAGGAUGCCUCAAUAUCAUCAACAAAUCCAGUGCGGUGAUCCUGAAACGUGAACCAAAGGACUGCUGGCUACAUCACCAAAAAGGAAUCUGGACUUUCUGAGUACCUUAAAACAGUCAUUGAAAACUCCACCAAAGACCACGUCAAUGAAUGUGAUGAAAUGAGGGAAAUCAUGCAGGCGUACUCUAAAAAGAGAGAGAUGACAACGCACUGAAAAUGAGUCGCCCCAUGUCUUACCUGGAGAACACAACAUUAGAAAGUGUAAAUGUGUGGAUGACGUCUUUGACUGACAAAUACAAAUCCAGACCAGAAACACCAGAGUUUGAGC